UACAGAGGGUGCAAGCGUUGUUCGGAAUUAUUGGGCGUAAAGGGCGCGUAGGCGGUGCGGUAAGUCUGCAGUGAAAUCUCUGGGCUCAACUCAGAGUCUGCUGUAGAAACUGCCGUGCUUGAGUGCAGGAGAGAAGAGUGGAAUUCCACGUGUAGCGGUGAAAUGCGUAGAGAUGUGGAGGAACACCAGUGGCGAAGGCGACUCUUUGGCCUGUAACUGACACUGAGGCGCGAAAGCGUGGGGAGCAAACAGG
rnacentral:rRNA from 1 species